rnacentral:snRNA from 1 species
AGUUUUGUGCAGCGGCAGUAUCGUAGCCAAUGAGGUUUAUCCGAGGCACGAUUAUUGCUAAUUGAAAACUUUUCCCAAUACCCCGCCAUGACGACUUGUCGGCUCUGGCAAUUUUUGACAGUCUCUACGGAGA